rnacentral:rRNA from 1 species
UACGGAGGGUCCAAGCGUUAAUCGGAAUUACUGGGCGUAAAGCGCGCGCAGGCGGUUUGUUAAGUUGGAUGUGAAAGCCCAGGGCUUAACCUUGGAACUGCAUUCAAAACUGGCGGACUAGAGUACGGUAGAGGGGGGUAGAAUUCAGAGUGUAGCGGUGAAAUGCGUAGAUAUUCUGAGGAAUACCAGUGGCGAAGGCGGCCCCCUGGAUUGAUACUGACGCUCAUGUGCGAAAGCGUGGGGAGCAAACAGG